AAGACAUCCAACACCUGUAUGGUGAGUUUAGCUAGAUUGAAAAGGAUUCAUUCACUGCUUGGAUUCGGAAAGGUAUCAGUCCCAAUUUCGCUUCAUUAUUCUCACAAAAGCCCCCUCCAAGAACACCUGAUAAAUGUGAUCCAGAUUUGUCAUUUGGUGCUGUAACAGAGUUAUAACAGGAGGUCCUGUUUUUCAAAGACAGAUUUAUGUGGCGCAAACAUCCUCAGUUUGAUGGAAGAGGAAUCACUCUGAUCAACUGUCUAUGGCCAAAUUGUGUUCCUCCCUUCUUGGAUGCUGUCUAUGUGGAUGUGAAAAGAAUGUAAAUGUGUUUUUCAAAGGCGAUCAGUACUGGAUGCUGAAGCAGUUGAAACUUGAGGAAGACUUUCCUGGAAACAUCUCAGACUUGGGCUUCCCCUCCAGUAUAAAAUCUUCAGGUGCUGCUCUUCAUUUCAGAAAUGGCCGCUACACUGUGUUCUUCACCGGCCACGAGUGCUGGAAGUAUGAAAGAUGAUACCGUUUCCCACAGCCCUUUCCUCAUUUCCAGACUUAUUGUUAAGCUAAGCUUACGACCUGCUGGCUGAAGUGUUUUACUAAAUGGACAGAUAUAAGAGUAGUAUGGAUCUUCUCAUCUAAGUCUAGGCAGGAAAGCAAACAAGUAUACUUUCCUGUACACAUUUUAUAUGGUAAAGUAGUGCAUGCAAUGCUUAUCAUCUGUAAUGAAAUGUAGUGUAAAGUGCAUUAGGUUUAUAGUUAAUCAAAGGCAUUUCUUUUUCUAGAUAAACAGACUGACUGGCAAUAGUACAUUCACAAUUAAUCUCCAGAAUUUCAUCAGGCACACAUUCUAAUGAAGUUCAUGUACUUAGUGGUGCGUUAACUAUUAAUAUGAUGCCACAGUUAUCUAAUGCUAUUGAAAAAUGCUCCCAUUGCUAUCUAUUACACCAGAUUACUUCUUUGUUAUGUGUUGAUGUAAUUACAACUUAUGAAUUUCCCGUGUGAGUAAAAGAGAAGGGCGUGUUGUCA